rnacentral:rRNA from 1 species
GACGAACGCUGGCGGCGUGCUUAACACAUGCAAGUCGAACGGAAAGGCCCUGCUUUUGUGGGGUGCUCGAGUGGCGAACGGGUGAGUAACACGUGAGUAACCUGCCCUUGACUUUGGGAUAACUUCAGGAAACUGGGGCUAAUACCGGAUAGGAGCUCCUGCUGCAUGGUGGGGGUUGGAAAGUUUCGGCGGUUGGGGAUGGACUCGCGGCUUAUCAGCUUGUUGGUGGGGUAGUGGCUUACCAAGGCUUUGACGGGUAGCCGGCCUGUGAGGGUGACCGGCCACAUUGGGACUGAGAGACGGCCCAGACUCCUACGGGAGGCAGCAGUGGGGAAUAUGGCACAAUGGGCGGAAGCCUGAUGCAGCAACGCCGCGUGCGGGAUGACGGCCUUCGGGUUGUAAACCGCUUUCGCCUGUGACGAAGCGUGAGUGACGGUAAUGGGUAAAGAAGCACCGGCUAACUACGUG